AGCGAACGUUUGCGGCGGGCCUAACACAUGCAAGUCGAACGCACUAGCAAUAGUGAGUGGCGCACGGGUGCGUAACACGUGGGUAAUCAACCCUUCAGCUUGGGAUAACGACUUGAAAGGGUCGCUAAUACCGGAUACGGCGCGGGAGGCUUCGGCUUCUCACGAGAAAGCCUCGCAAGGGGCACUGAAGGACGAGCCUGCGGCCCAUCAGCUAGUUGGUGAGGUAAGAGCUCACCAAGGCGAAGACGGGUAGCUGGUCUGAGAGGAUGAUCAGCCACACUGGAACUGAGACACGGUCCAGACUCCUACGGGAGGCAGCAGUGGGGAAUAUUGCGCAAUGGGCGAAAGCCUGACGCAGCCACGCCGCGUGAGCGAUGAAGGCC
rnacentral:rRNA from 1 species